AUGCCCGCGUCACACUGUCCCGAUUUUUAUAUACGAUGGACACCCGAAAGCGAAAAUUGUAAGUUCGUACGAAGUUGGUCCCGAUCUCGUUAAAAUACCAAAAAAAGUGACCGAAGCAAGUACGAUGAAUAACGAUGUCUAUACGAUGGUGCCGAAAUUAUAUACGAUAGCAAAAGAUGGACAUACGAAGGUUAACCGAAGACGGGUAUUUAAGCUUCAUAUCUCAGCCGAAGCCUACACGAUGGAUCACGAAGGCUACACGAUGGCUUACGAAGGCUACACGAUGGAUUACGAUGAUGCGCGAUGGUCAUACGAUGUCUAAAAGACGUCGUGUACAGCUUACUUUUAUUUAUGAUACGAACAGAAUUUCGACAACAUAUCGUUUCUGUACAAGUCUGCCAUGCAUGGCUGGAAAUCGACCUGUUUGUCUAAUUCUUAUAAAACUUAGUUUAUUAUCCCCUCGCCUACUACAUGUAAGUUGCGUGUAGAUAAAAUUGUUAUGGACACUCUAGAACCAAAAUGCUCAAAACUG
rnacentral:lncRNA from 1 species